ACCCAGCUGACGAGUCCCGAAUAAGACGAAACGCGCGUCCUGGAU
rnacentral:hammerhead_ribozyme from 1 species